rnacentral:lncRNA from 1 species
UAUCACUGCCGGAUGUCAGGCCACACUCUGCCAACAGGCCUGGCCACGUUAGACUCUCCAUUAAUUGAUUUUGCCCUCCCACCUUGGGGAAGCACAAAUUGGCGCUUCCCAUUAGGAGCAGUAAUUCCCUGAAAAGGAUUAUAAAUCAUGCCCUGUGUCCGUCCAUCGCUCCCAGCAGAGUGGCGCCCACGUGGGGAGGUGUCAUGCAGGCAGGGACCAUGUCUGAUGGGCAGGGGAGGUCCCUGCAGGCCUGAAGUUUCCCUCCUAAACCUGGCCAGGCCAGGCCACAGCCAGGCAGGGGAGCAGCCAAGGCAGGUGCCAGCACAUAGAGGGCACCCAGCUCACAUAUUCUACGAGAGAAGCAGAGGCAGGGCAGGCACUGGCUCUGGAGUGGGGAGUGCUUUGGGGACCGAUCGAGCUGAGCUCCUGGCAAGUCCACCAUGAAGGCUCCAUCCUUUAGCUCUGUGGUCCCCUUAAGCUGGAAGAGCUCCUGGGAAAGGCUGUCUUAAACUCCAGCCAGGUGGCUCAGACAGUAAAGAAGCCGCCUGCAUUGCACGAGUCCAGGGUUCGAUCCCUGGGUCAGGAAGAUCCCCCGGAGAAGGGAAUGGCUACCCGCUCCAGUAUUCUUGCCUGGAGAAUUCCAUGGUCAGAGAAUCUGGCGGGGUACAGCCCAGGGGGUCACAAAGAGUCAGACACAACUGAGCAACACACACACAAUGCCCUGUGAGAGGAAACAGCAGCAGCGGGGAGAAAUGGGGCGAGGCCCUCAACAGGGGGUCCCCAAAGGAGUGGGGGUCUUGGCCCACAGGGAGCCUGGCAUCCUUCCUGUCCAGGCCGUGAGGGAGCCCUGUCCACCUGCAACAGACGGCCCUCCCCACUGUGCUCGCCCAUGUUCCGCCUCCCUUUCCUUCCACCUGAGAACCACCACCAUCACCUGCAGACCGUGCCCAGACUCAGCAAGGAUAUUCGCACAGAAGAGGUUGCUAAGACCCGCCCAAGUCCCCAGACAGAAGCACGUGAGCUUUCCAAAUGGUAAAGGAGAAAUCUUCACAUACUGAGCUUCUCCCAGGCAAUAAAAUGGGAUUUUAUUAUCACCGCCUGGCAGGUGUGUAAGCAUAACCCUAGCUUAGAGCCAGGACCGAGGGCGAGAUGUGUGACCCAGAUGCUUGCUUCUGCCCCAGGACCAGCCAGCCUCCCAGCAUGGUGCUAUCUGGGAAAGCUCUGGGUGUGAGGAGGGCCUUACAGGAGACAGCUGUGGACGCCCAGGUGGCCUCAGGGACCCAGAGCCAGCACCUGCCACCCCCAGACAGGGCCCUGACUGAACCUUGAACUUAUCUAACCAUUGAGAAGUAACAAUCCCUAACUGUGGCUUAAACAAAUCAGGCUUAGGUUUCAAGCCCAUUUACAUCUAGAGGUAGGCGUGUGCAGGAAUCAGCUGAGCAUCUUUUCGAUGCUCGUGACCUUUCCUGCAAGGACACGGGGUGGCUGAGCAGGGGCCAGCAUCUGUGCAUUCAGGGCAGACCACCCUUGGUUCGGAUGCAGCACCCUCAGCCCACUCCUCCGCAGCUGUCUCUGUUCACAUCUAAUUGGCCAGAACCAGGUCUCGGGGCAGGGAGGGCGGCCCUGCUGAAAGGGAGCUCCGAAAGUGGGUACGAGGGGCAGGCGAUCCCCUGAUCCCCUCCCCCUCUCUGGGCCCCUCUCCUCCGCUUUCAAGUGUUUGCUUCUAAUGGCCUGGCUGCACCUGGGGCUCCUCGGUGGACUGUCCACAGGCUCCCGGAGCCAUUCUGCCUGCAGAUGAAGAGCUAGAAAUGCCAGAAUGACUGCCUGGGUGGGGACGAUGAUAGCCUGGCCUCCCUGCCUCCAGGGGACUAACUGGGUGCACUUCACCCAUCAGGGCUCCCCAGAAACCAGGGGAGGACAGAGCUACGGUGCUUUGUUUAACCCCCUAUGGGUCUUCACUUACUUCACUGCCCGUACAUAAAGCACCCUCGCAGGGCUGUUCCUGAGACAGUGAGGAGUGGGAUUAUCAUGAUGGGUGAGAUCAGCCAGGCUCCACUGCCUGGGGCUGACAUGUACAAAUGUGGGGCUCUGUUCGUCGAGAAGGAGGGAAAAGCUAUCGGCGUGGCAACUCAUGUCUGCGGGUGCAGCUCAUUACAGGAAACACCAGAGAACACAAGCAGAUUAUACUGACAACCCUCACACACUGCUGGUGGGGAUGUAAAAUGGCACAGCUACUUUGGAAAACAGUCUGGUGGUUCCUCAAAUAAUUAAACAUAGAGUGAUGAUGUGGCCCGGCAAUUCUACUCUUAAGGACACUACAGGGGAGAAAUGGAAAGUUACAAUCCCACUAAAAGAGACUCAUACGUGAACACUCAUAGCAGUAUUAUUCAUAACAGCCAAAUAUCUAUCAACUGAUAAACGGAUAUAUAAAUACACAUAAAAUGUUGGUACAUAUCCAUGGAAUGAAAUAUUAUUCAGCCAUAAAGAAUGGAGUAGCGACACUUGCUACUUUUCGGAUAAUGAAAACAUUAUGCUAAUUGAAGAAGCCAGACACAAAAGUCCACAUAUGGUAUGACUGCAUUUAAAUGAAAUGCUGUCUAACAAGGCCGUUUUGUAUAGCACAGUGAACUACCGAUAUAUUUGAUAUCCUGUGAUUAAACUAUAAAGGAAAAGAAUAUAUUUUUUAAAUGUAUAUAUGUGUAUAACUUGGAGAAGGCAAUGGCACCCCACUCCAGUACUCUUGCCUGGCAAAUCCCAUGGACGGAGGAGCCUGGUGGGCUGCAGUCCAUGGGGUGGCGAAGAGUCAGACACGAUUGAGCGACUUCCCUUUCACUUUUCACUUGCAUGCAUUGGAAAAGGAAAUGGCAACCCGCUCCAGUGUUCUUGCCUGGAGAAUCCCAGGGACGGGGGAGCCUGGUGGGCUGCCGUCUCUGGGGUCGCACAGAGUCAGACACGACUGAAGUGACUUAGCAGCAGCAACAGCAUGCGUAUAACUGAGUCACUUUACUGUACAGCGGACAUAGGUACAAUGGUGUUAAUCAACUAUACUUCACUUUUUAAAAAUGUUUAAACAUGUCCAGAUUAGGGAAAUCCUGAGACAGCAAGUUAACUGUUGGCCAGAGGCCAAGGGGGCAGGCUGGACGAAUGGAGGUGACAGCUAAAAGGUACAAGUUUCUGUUCUGAGGUUUUAAAAAUAUUCUAAAAUUGAUCUUGGGAUAGUUGCAGGCCUCUGAAUAUAGUUGAACAGAGAAACCAUCCAAUUAUAUACUUUAAGUGUGUGAAUGGUAGCAUGUGAGUUAUAAAUCAAAAAAAAAAAAAAAAGCUGCUGCAAAUACACACACACACACGCAGAGAAAGAGAGGAAAACACCCUCGAUUCCACCCACCCGGAGUGAACCACUGUUAAGACCUCCGGGCCGGGAGGUACUUUGUUUUAGCUUCUUUUUACUCACACUUAUGUCUCACCGACGUAGCCUCCCAAGGGAACCUGCUAAGGAUUUCAAGCGAGGAGGACUUUCAGCAAACGCAUCCAGUCUAUUAGGAACAUCAAGCCUCACACUUUUCCUGAUCCAGGCUGUCCUUUGUCUGUUUGCUUUCCCCUGAUUUGUCACCCAGAUCUCUCAUCCUUGGGUUCCCCCAAGAGGCAGGUCCAUCCCUCCAGCCCCAUUUCGUAGCCAAGGCAACUGAGUGCAAGUUUUAUUCACACCCGAUCUGAUUUCUUC